rnacentral:rRNA from 1 species
UACGUAGGGUGCGAGCGUUGUCCGGAAUUAUUGGGCGUAAAGGGCUCGUAGGCGGUCUGUCGCGUCGGGAGUGAAAACUCAGGGCUUAACCCUGAGCCUGCUUCCGAUACGGGCAGACUAGAGGUAUGCAGGGGAGAAUGGAAUUCCUGGUGUAGCGGUGGAAUGCGCAGAUAUCAGGAGGAACACCGGUGGCGAAGGCGGUUCUCUGGGCAUUACCUGACGCUGAGGAGCGAAAGUGUGGGGAGCGAACAGG